GCGGGCGUGGUGGAAUUGGUAGACACGCCGGCUUUAGGUGCCGGUGCCGCAAGGCGUGGGGGUUCGAGUCCCUCCGCCCGCA
rnacentral:tRNA from 1 species